rnacentral:rRNA from 1 species
GAUGAACGCUGGCGGCGUGCCUAAUACAUGCAAGUCGAGCGAACAGACGAGGAGCUUGCUCCUCUGACGUUAGCGGCGGACGGGUGAGUAACACGUGGAUAACCUACCUAUAAGACUGGGAUAACUUCGGGAAACCGGAGCUAAUACCGGAUAAUAUAUUGAACCGCAUGGUUCAAUAGUGAAAGACGGUUUUGCUGUCACUUAUAGAUGGAUCCGCGCCGCAUUAGCUAGUUGGUAAGGUAACGACUUACCAAGGCAACGAUGCGUAGCCGACCUGAGAGGGUGAUCGGCCACACUGGAACUGAGACACGGUCCAGACUCCUACGGGAGGCAGCAGUAGGGAAUCUUCCGCGAUGGGCGAAAGCCUGACGGAGCAACGCCGCGUGAGUGAUGAAGGUCUUCGGAUCGUAAAACUCUGUUAUUAGGGAAGAACAAAUGUGUAAGUAACUAUGCACGUCUUGACGGUACCUAAUCAGAAAGCCACGGCUAACUACGUG